AUUGAACGCUGGCGGCAUGCCUUACACAUGCAAGUCGAACGGCAGCGGACCUUCGGGUGCCGGCGAGUGGCGAACGGGUGAGUAAUAUAUCGGAACGUACCUUUCAGUGGGGGGAUAACGUAGCGAAAGUUACGCUAAUACCGCAUAUUCUGUGAGCAGGAAAGCAGGGGAACGCAAGACCUUGCGCUGAUUGAGCGGCCGAUAUCAGAUUAGCUAGUUGGUGAGGUAAAGGCUCACCAAGGCGACGAUCUGUAGCGGGUCUGAGAGGAUGAUCCGCCACACUGGAACUGAGACACGGUCCAGACUCCUACGGGAGGCAGCAGUGGGGAAUUUUGGACAAUGGGCGCAAGCCUGAUCCAGCCAUGCCGCGUGAGUGAAGAAGGCCUCGGUGUAAGACUCUUCGUCCGGAGAAGUACGCACGGUAAGUACCCUACGUGUGGAUGACGGUACCGGAACGUAAGAAGAC
rnacentral:rRNA from 1 species